rnacentral:rRNA from 1 species
GGUCAUAACCAGAAGCAGGUGAGCUAACCGCAAGGAGGCAGCCUACCAAGGUUGUGGCCGUGAUUGGGGUGAAGUCGUAACAAGGUAGCCGUAGGUGAACCUGCAGAAGGAUCA